UUACAAUUAGAUUAGAUUAAUUAAAAUAGACUUUAUUGAUACCAAAUUGGGAAAUUUCAGUGCUAUAGCAGCAAAAUAUCAGACACACACACAUAAUCUCCAAGGCAUGAUAAGUAGGAUAAAAUACAA